rnacentral:rRNA from 1 species
UACGUAGGGUGCGAGCGUUGUCCGGAAUUAUUGGGCGUAAAGGGCUCGUAGGCGGUUUGUCGCGUCGGGAGUGAAAACUCAGGGCUUAACCCUGAGCCUGCUUCCGAUACGGGCAGACUAGAGGUAUGCAGGGGAGAACGGAAUUCCUGGUGUAGCGGUGAAAUGCGCAGAUAUCAGGAGGAACACCGGUGGCGAAGGCGGGUUCUCUGGGCCGAUUACCUGACGCUGAGGAGCGAAAGCGUGGGGAGCGAACAGG